AGGUAGGGCAUGGGCGGCGCCAUGUUUCGAACCUGGUCAGGUCCGGGAGGAAGCAGCCAUAAGAGACCGCUGACGAGCGCCCUUGUCCUAUCUGCA
rnacentral:SRP_RNA from 2 species